rnacentral:rRNA from 1 species
AGCGAACGCUGGCGGCAGGCUUAACACAUGCAAGUCGAGCGCCCGUAGCAAUACGGGAGCGGCAGACGGGAGAGUAACACGUGGGAACAUGCCCUUCGGUUCGGAAUAACUCAGGGAAACUUGAGCUAAUACCGGAUACGUCCGUAAGGAGAAAGAUUUAUCGCCGAAGGAUUGGCCCGCGUCCGAUUAGCUUGUUGGUGAGGUAAUGGCUCACCAAGGCGACGAUCGGUAGCUGGUCUGAGAGGAUGAUCAGCCUCACUGGGACUGAGACACGGCCCAGACUCCUACGGGAGGCAGCAGUGGGGAAUAUUGGACAAUGGGCGAAAGCCUGAUCCAGCCAUGCCGCGUGGGUGAUGAAGGCCUUAGGGUUGUAAAGCCC